GAGCUUAGUGGCGAACGGGUGAGUAACACGUAGGCAACCUGCCCAAAAGAGGGGGAUAACACUUGGAAACAGGUGCUAAUACCGCAUAACCAUGAACACCGCAUGAUGUUCAUGUAAAAGACGGCUUUUGCUGUCACUUUUGGAUGGGCCUGCGGCGUAUUAACUUGUUGGUGGGGUAACGGCCUACCAAGGUGAUGAUACGUAGCCGAACUGAGAGGUUGAUCGGCCACAUUGGGACUGAGACACGGCCCAAACUCCUACGGGAGGCAGCAGUAGGGAAUCUUCCACAAUGGACGAAAGUCUGAUGGAGCAACGCCGCGUGAAUGAAGAAGGCCUUCGGGUCGUAAAAUUCUGUUGUCAGAGAAGAACGUGCGUGAGAGUAACUGUUCACGUAUUGACGGUAUCUGACCAGAAAGCCACGGCUAACUACGUGCCAGCAGCCGCGGUAAUACGUAGGUGGCGAGCGUUGUCCGGAUUUAUUGGGCGUAAAGGGAACGCAGGCGGUCUUUUAAGUCUGAUGUGAAAGCCUUCGGCUUAACCGAAGUAGUGCAUUGGAAACUGGAAGACUUGAGUGCAGAAGAGGAGAGUGGAACUCCACGUGUAGCGGUGAAAUGCGUAGAUAUAUGGAAGAACACCAGUGGCGAAAGCGGCUCUCUGGUCUGUAACUGACGCUGAGGUUCGAAAGCGUGGGUAGCAAACAGGAUUAGAUACCCUGGUAGUCCACGCCGUAAACGAUGAGUGCUAAGUGUUGGAGGGUUUCCGCCCUUCAGUGCUGCAGCUAACGCAUUAAGCACUCCGCCUGGGGAGUACGGUCGCAAGACUGAAACUCAAAGGAAUUGACGGGGGCCCGCACAAGCGGUGGAGCAUGUGGUUUAAUUCGAAGCAACGCGAAGAACCUUACCAGGUCUUGACAUCUUCUGACAAUUCCAGAGAUGGAACGUUCCCUUCGGGGACAGAAUGACAGGUGGUGCAUGGUUGUCGUCAGCUCGUGUCGUGAGAUGUUGGGUUAAGUCCCGCAACGAGCGCAACCCUUAUUGUCAGUUGCCAUCAUUAAGUUGGGCACUCUGGCGAGUCUGCCGGUGACAAACCGGAGGAAGGUGGGGAUGACGUCAAAUCAUCAUGCCCCUUAUGACCUGGGCUACACACGUGCUACAAUGGACGGUACAACGAGUCGCUAACUCGCGAGGGCAAGCUAAUCUCUUAAAGCCGUUCUCAGUUCGGAUUGCAGGCUGCAACUCGCCUGCAUGAAGUCGGAAUCGCUAGUAAUCGCGAAUCAGCAUGUCGCGGUGAAUACGUUCCCGGGCCUUGUACACACCGCCCGUCAUACCAUGAGAGUUUGUAACACCCAAAGUCGGUGGGGUAACCUUUUGGAGCCAGCCGCCUAAGGUGGGACAGAUGAUUGGGGUGAAGUCGUAACAAGGUA
rnacentral:rRNA from 1 species